rnacentral:rRNA from 1 species
UACAGAGGUCUCAAGCGUUGUUCGGAUUCAUUGGGCGUAAAGGGUGCGUAGGUGGCGCGGUAAGUCGGGUGUGAAAUUUCGGAGCUUAACUCCGAAACUGCAUUCGAUACUGCCGUGCUUGAGGACUGGAGAGGAGACUGGAAUUUACGGUGUAGCAGUGAAAUGCGUAGAGAUCGUAAGGAAGACCAGUGGCGAAGGCGGGUCUCUGGACAGUUCCUGACGCUGAGGCACGAAGGUCAGGGGAGCAAACGGG